UUCUGACCGCUUCUUUUCAUAAGCUUUGGCGCCUCCACGCGACAAAUCUCUCCUCCUCUUCCUCCAUGCAACCAUCAAUCAAACCCUACCCCUCUCUCGUGAUCCAUCUACUUAAUUCUUUCCAAUCGAUUCUGAGGCAAUCCGGAAGGAAAGGGUAAAAAUACGUGUGUUCUUUUGUUGAAUUUCAUCCGUAGGACAAAUGGCGGGACCAACAAGGCAGGGGAUUCCUUCGUGGAUUGGCGCCGCAGCUUCCAGAGUCGAGCUCGAUCCCAACGUUUCCACGGCGCUUCGAGAAGAAGUAGCAGAAGAAGAUUCCUCUUCUUCGUUUCCUCCUCGUUCCGGAACCGGUAACUUAACGCUACCUGAUGUCGAUGUCGGUUUUGCGGAGAGGGCUUUCUCUGCCGCAGGCGCCGCCGUCCUCUCUGCAGUCCUCGUCAAUCCCCUCGACGUUGCCAAGACAAGGUUGCAAGCACAAGCUGCCGGUGUCCCUUAUGAACGCCUUUGCAACAUGACAUGUUUUGAAAUGAACACGAUGCUUCCAGAUAUGAGAUGUCCUCCAUCCUGCACUCGUACAGUUCAUGUUGCUGAAACAGCAGGUCCUCAGGACUUUCAUCGAUAUAGAGGGACGCUGGAUGUAUUUUACAAAGUUGCACGCCAGGAAGGUCUUGCAAGACUUUGGAGAGGCACAGGUGCAAGUUUGGCACUAGCAGUGCCAACUGUCGGUAUCUACUUGCCUUGUUAUGAUAUUUUGCGUAAUCAUAUGGAAGAAUUCACAUCACAAAAUGCCCCUAGCAUUACCCCAUAUGUCCCCUUGGUUGCUGGCUCAGUGGCACGAUCACUAGCUUGUAUCACUUGUUAUCCCGUUGAACUUGCAAGAACUCGUAUGCAGGCAUUCAAAGAGGGUGUCAAGCCUCCAGGAGUUUGGAAGACAUUGGCUGGGGUAGUGCCCCCCAUCAGAAGCACAAACAACCUUCAAAAUUUGCAAAACUACCGCAUUUUAUGGACGGGCCUUGGAGCACAGCUUGCACGUGAUGUUCCUUUUUCUGCUAUCUGCUGGUCAACCCUUGAGCCUAUGAGGAGAAGAAUGUUGGGUCUAAUUGGUGAUAAAACCAGUGGAGCCAAUGUUGUGGGGACAAACUUCUGUGCUGGCUUUGUUGCAGGAACCCUUGCAGCCGCUGCUACAUGUCCUUUAGAUGUUGCAAAAACUCGGCGGCAGAUAGAGAAGGAUCCUGCCCGAGCGUUGACUAUGACCACAAAACAGACAUUGGUUGAAAUUUGGAGGGAUGGGGGGAUAAAAGGGCUGUUUACAGGACUUGGGCCUCGAGUUGCUCGCGCAGGACCAUCAGUUGGAAUAGUGGUUUCCUUUUAUGAAGUCGUCAAGUAUGCUUUGUUACAUCAUAGGCAUUCUUCGAUACAGUAGGAGUAGAUGGCUAUCAUCAGGGGACUGCUCUUGAGGUAGACAACUUCAGUGAGGUUUCAUAUAUAUUGUACGGACGUUACGCUGCAGCUAACAAAACCAUGGUUUUUGCUACUAUCCCAUACUACAAAUUCUUGAGGCAUUUACGACGAAGUAUGGAGGAUUCUUCCUGUCCACCCCUUCCUUGAGAUGCAGACCCCUAUAUGAAUCCUCAGGUCAACAGACUUAAGCCAGGAAGGAAAAUUCAUUUAAUUCUUUCGUUAAAAUGAAGCGGCCCGUGUAUACUGACAGAUUGAGGUAAGGAAAAGGUGAAGGAGAAGGAGAAAGGGGAGUUCAGUUCAUUGGGUAGACAUGUGUAUGGGACAAUCCUGACUGAAAAUGUCUCGUGGGUGUGUUUUGAGUUCAGGGGCAUCAAUGUCCCAAAUUUGUAUUAUUGUAAUUAAGUUGUG